GAACCUUCCCCAUGAAGAACAGGUCCAAGAGCCGGGCCUUGGAUUCCCCCGGGGCUGGUCAGUGACCCCUGGCCUGUGUGCCUGGAGCAUGCACCAGUCCAAGGAUUCAGGAGAUGGACAUCUACUGGAGGGGGAAAGGCUCACCGAGCUGAGACUCCAUCUGAUGAGGACCCGGGGCGUGUGGCAGGUCCCACACCUGGAUGCCCGGAGUUCUCUAGACAUCCUGGCCCUGCAGCCCCCAGGGAGUUUCCUAGUCACAGGGUUUGGCCUGAGCCUGGCCCUGACGAUGAAUACAGACCCCCACCCGGAGGCCAUGGGAACCUUCCGGAUUCUGGAGACCCCUACAGGAGUGGCCCUUCAGGGCUCCCAGCUCAGCUUCUCAGAUUUGCCUGAACUCUUGGCCUUCCUCUCCACCAGCAGGGACAUCCUGCCGCAGCCGCUGCUUCUCCUUCCCAGAUCCAUGGGGCCUGGAGUCCCUCUUACUGAACCUCUCCAGAUUGGCAUGGUCUGGAUCACCUCCGUCAAAGGGGCCCUCUCUGUGGUGAAUCCCCUGUACUUGAGGGACCAUGGGCCCUGGGAGCCCAAAGAGGGGGACUCCUCAGAGCCAGUUCAGAAGGAUGCCCUAGCCCCUCAACCUCUGGGCCCUCAUCGGGUCUCCUGGAUAGAGGGUCCUCCUAGUCCUGAGACGGAGCCUGAGGCCUGGUCCCUCUACAGCCUGGAGGGAGGGGAGGACAAGCUGGUGGAGGCUGACGAGGCCCAGGAUGAGGGGGACGAGGACUCAGAGCCUGGCGAUGGGGUGUACCAGAGAGUGCAGGCUCUGGCCCAGGCUCGGGGCAGCCUUGUGGCCAAGCAGCACCGAGCCCUUCAGGCCAGGCUCAGGGAAGCCCGGGGUGGUCCCUGUGGGCCAGAGGCUGGGGACCCAGCCACUGAGCUGCUGCAGGACAUUCGUCAUCUCCUUACCGACCUCAAGGAUCACCUGGUGAAUGACCCGGAGGUCCAGGCUGCCUACAGGGCCAGAAUGGCCCCACCUGCUCAGGACCAUGAGGAUCUAGAAGCCAUGGUGGAGGCAGCUGUGUGCUGGGUGGUGCUGAGGCCCCUUCAGCCGGUCCUGUGGACCAAGCUUCGGAUGCUAAGGGCCCGGGAUCUGCAGCAGCUACAGUGGCGUCAGGAGGUGAUGCGGGCCUGGGCGCUGCAGGAAGCCCCCAUCCCCAGCCCAACCAGGCAUCGCAUCCAGGCCCGCCUGGCUCACCUGCACACUGUCUGGGCCCCACAGCGCAAGGUGGCCCUUCUGCUGGCCAUCUGCCGGGAUGUGUAUGAAGGCCUCGCCCAGAGUGGGAGCCAGGAACCCCUGGGGGCUGAUGACUUCUUGCCAGCGCUGACAGAGGAGCUUCUGUGGAGUCCAGACAUUGAGGCCACCCAGCUGGAUGUGGAGUUCCUGAUGGAGAUUCUGGACCCUGCAGAGCUGCUGGGGGAGAGUCUCUGGCCUAUUUCUCUGACGUUGCUGCCAAACAGACUCUCCAGUCCAGAGAGAGAGAAGAGAAGAGAAAGACGCUGGGGAGGGGGGAGAGGGAGGAACACCGUCAGCCCCUUCUGAGCUCAAGAUCUGACCCAGCCCUGACAGAUGUCCUUUAUAACAGCUGAACCUCUCCAUCCCUACGUCUAUCUCUUUGGCAUUUAAUGAAAAAAGAAGAGGAAAGACAGGUGUAAGCCUUGAAAACAUUAUUCUGAGAAGGAAUCCAUAGGCUUCAUUAGACUGACAAAGGGACCGAUAACAGAAAAAACACAGAAGAAUCCCUGGAGCAGCUUGUACGGUUCCUUCCGGCUCUGCCCCGAUUGUUCUGGUUAGGUUAGGGGAUUGCCUCAAUCAGUUUUUAAUCUACCAGUUGUCAAGUGGCUACUCAGAUUCAGGCACAAAGGCAGAAAUAAAACAGUCCCUGGCCUCCAGGAACAGCAAUGGAUUCCACUGAAAGGAAAAAACCUGUACACAUGAAAGUACAGACCAAAUAAAUACAAAGUAAUGGGGGGAGGGGCAGGAAAGGAUUUAGGUACGAUGCGAUAUUUUCGCUUUAAACGAAAGGAAGGAUUCAAAGAGAUGGAG